GGCGCGUUGGCGGAGCAGUUACGCAGCGGUCUGCAAAACCGUUUAGACGGGUGCGACUCCCGUACGUGCCUCCA
rnacentral:tRNA from 1 species